rnacentral:rRNA from 1 species
UCGAGAGGCUUCGGCAAUGGGGGAAACCCUGACCGAGCGACGCCGCGUGGGUGAUGAAGAUCCUUGGAUCGUAAAACCCUGUCAGGUGGGAUGAACUGCCAUUUGGUUAAUACCCGAGUGGUUUGACAGUACCGCCAGAGGAAGCUCCGGCUAACUCCGUGCCAGCAGCCGCGGUAAUACGGGGGGAGCAAACGUUGUUCGGAUUCAUUGGGCGUAAAGAGCUCGUAGGCGGCUUCGUAAGUCAGAGGUGAAAGACCACGGCUCAACCGUGGAACCGCCUUUGAAACUACGAAGCUUGAGGCCCGGAGAGGAAAGCGGAAUUCCUGGAGUAGCGGUGAAAUGCGUAGAUAUCAGGAGGAACACCAGUGGCGAAGGCGGCUUUCUGGACGGGUACUGACGCUGAGGAGCGAAAGCUAGGGGAGCAAACAGGAUUAGAUACCCUGGUAGUCCUAGCCGUAAACGAUGGGCACUAGGUGUGGGAGGAUCGACCCCUUCCGUGCCGCAGUUAACGCACUAAGUGCCCCGCCUGGGGAGUACGACCGCAAGGUG